AUGUCUUUACUGGGCUAGUGUAGCUCAUUCCUUAUUUAAUCAUUUCAGAUCAAGAGGACAUCGUUCCCGAGCCGGUUCCGCAGGAGGACGACGAAGGGGACGCCUAAGGACUCCAUAGUCACAUUCGUAGUUUUUACUUUCAAGUUUCCCCUUUAGGUAGUUUAAUCUUUUAUAUUUUGUGAGCACGUUUUUGGUUUUAGAGUAAGGGAUGUUAAUCAAAUUUUGUCUUCGCUUCCGCAUU
rnacentral:lncRNA from 1 species